rnacentral:misc_RNA from 1 species
GACUCGGUCUCAGAUCCGAGAGAGGGUGAACGCCAGCGCCGCGAUCGACAGCAUGGUCCCCACCAUCGCAAAGAAGACCAGCCGCGUCUGGCUGGUGACCGCGGCCAUGAUCUCGCCGCGGAAGUCCGCCCGCAGCUCCUGCCCCAGCGCCCGCAUCUCGGCCCGGAGCUCGGCAAAUCCCGAACGCAUCUCCAUCCGCAGCUCGCCGAGCUCCCCGCGCAGCUCGCCGAACUCGCCGCGCAGCUCGCCGAACUCGCCCCGCAGCUCGCCGAACUCGCCGCGCAGGCCCAUGAACUCCCCGUGAAGCUUGUCGACCUCCGAACGCACGGAGUCCUUGGUGGCGAGCUCUUCAGCUCCGCCAUACGGCAGGUGCGCCAUCAGCGUCUCGGUCUCCUGAUCGCCGAUCACACCGCGCAGCCUGGACACCAACUGCGCACGGUCUCCCUCGGUCACGGCCAUGCUGCGCUCCUUGCCCAACUCCGGCAAGCGCACCGUAUGCCGAACCUGCGACGGCCAGGUCGGGUUGUCCACAGGGGUGGGCCCGCGGCAAGGAACGAUCCGGCCCGCGAGGCGGGGCAGGAUCGGGUUGGUGUCGCUGUCGGACCGUGGUGUCGGUGGCCAGGCGAAUGAAGGUCGCCAGAACCGUAGUCAACGAUCUCGAUGCUGCAGUUCGUUUCGACAUUCGGAUCGCACGUGGCGAGUCCGGUCGUUGAAGUUGCCGUAGAUGACGCCCUCGACGGGGUUCACCGAGUCGCCCGUAUAGGUGAUGGGGGCCAGUGUCCGUCGUGCUGUCCGCCGCGAUCAGCGUGAGCUGCCCCCAGACGGGGGCCGGGGACGCUCGGGGUCUCGGUCGGGUCACCAGCGAUCCCUGGAGGCGGCGGCGCAGGCCGGCGAAGUGAAACGAACGCGGCACCCGGCCGAAGCCGGGUGCCGCGUGUGGUGCGAGGUGUGACGCGUGCUACGCGUCAGCGAUGAAGGUGCCGUCCUCGCUGUUGAUGUAGCCCGACCUCAGGCCGGCGACCUGGCCGAUGUUGGACCCGACCCAGACAGCCUCGCUGGUCGCGUCGAAGUUCGUGUCGCCCACCAGCGCGUUGCACGUCACCGACGUGGCGCCGGCAGACACCGGGUUGCAGGUGAUGUCGUUGUUGUCGUCGGCGUUCGGCCCGUAAAGCGUGUAGCUGGGAGUGAAACCGCCCGCCAACGGCUGGUCGUAGUUGACCACCAGGGCGAAGCCAACCGGGUUCCCGAGGAUGUCCUCCGUGGGCGUACGCGUCGCCCCGGUCAUGAGCGGUCCGGUGGAGAACCGGGCCGGGAACAUCAGGUUCUCGGCCGGGGCCCCGAUCGAUUGGGGCACGUUGAUCUGACCAGUCGUGGCCUGGAAAACGGCACCUUCGUCCAGGGUCAGCACGACCGCGUCGAAGGUCGGGAGACCCGGGCACGGUGCGGGGCAUAGGGCGCCUGGGGUGGUGCCUGCAAAGGCACUCAACACGAGCGCGGUGUUGCCGGAGGGCGUCACCACGGUUGGGUUGUACUGCAAGCUCGGCGACACCAGCGGGUCUGGGGGCGCCCCAAUCAAGCCAUUGGAGGCGGACUGGGUGUAGUCGGUAACCGCAAAGCUACCCUCCUCACCCGCGACGAACGUGAUCUGCUGGUUGAACUGCACCGUGAUCGUGCCGGCCACCGGGUCGGUGUCGUAGCUGGUGAUCCGCGGCACGUCGGAGUCGAACACGCCGCCGUUCAGCGGGAGCGUGAACGGGUAGUUGCGGGCGCCGGUCGCGCCCAGCUCCUGGAGGCCGUCGUCGGGGACGACAACCGUGCGCAGCGUCGCGAAGUCCGAGGUGGUGAUUCCGCCACCGACAGGCCCCCCAACCCGAUCGAUGAGGACGCGGAAAAUCGCGUCGUUGACGGUGGCGCCGGUGCACACGGCCCUGCUCGUGGCCACGAGCGCGCCGCUGGCGUCCCAGAACUCGACGUCGUCGGUCGCCGUUGGGGUGUCGCACGCGGUCAGGGGGGUCCCCAAGUCCAAUAUGGGUUCGUCGACGGCGAUCUCGACGUACUCAGUGCCCUGGGCGAGCGGCGAGCCGCCGUCCUGGAAGGGGCCCACGGACACCGGGUCCGGACCCAGGGUGAUGCCCGGGGUCAUGGUCGCGGCGCGGAGGCCGAGGUAGGCCAAGGCCGACUGGUGUCCGCCGGGCGGCGGCGUCUCGGCCGAGCCCUCGGUGAACCCGAUGCCAGUCACGAACUGCUGCUGCUCGGCUGAGAUGGUGAACAGGUAGAGGACCUCGUUCGGGUUGGACGCGCCCCUCGGCACGCCGAGCGCAC